rnacentral:rRNA from 1 species
UACGGAGGGUGCAAGCGUUGUCCGGAUUUAUUGGGUUUAAAGGGUGCGUAGGCGGUUCUUUAAGUCCGGGGUGAAAGCCCACUGCUCAACAGUGGAACUGCCCUGGAAACUGGAGAACUUGAGUACAGACGAGGGCGGCGGAAUGGAUGGUGUAGCGGUGAAAUGCAUAGAUACCAUCCAGAACCCCGAUUGCGUAGGCAGCUUACUAGGCUGUAACUGACGCUGAGGCACGAAAGCGUGGGGAGCGAACAGG